rnacentral:tRNA from 1 species
CGAAGUAGCUCAGUGGUAGAGCAACUGAUUCGUAAUCAGUAGGUCCGCGGUUCGAAUCCGCGCUUCG